GCCACAGUUAACGAAGAAAGCAUGGAAUACUUUUACAACGGGCAACCGAUUGUCCCUGUUCCGGAUCAAACGAGAGUGGUAUCUAAUAAAGAAGUCGAUAUUAUGUACAUCGUCAUUGGUAGGGAGGAAGAUUUUCAGGAGCUUGCUGUAAAUAAUCAGAUGACUCUCAAUUUAGAUUUGGAUAUGCAGUGCCAUACAGGCCCUCACCACCUGCAUUGCAUGUGAAACAUCCAACUCCAAUGUUCUCAAAAGACAUCUGAAUCGACUACACAUCAAUACAAAUGCAUUUUCGACAAUUCUUCGUGCUCGUGAAAGUCUAUAGUUAAAAACUUUCUCAUGACCUAUUGCAAUCUGGUGUGGAUAUGGCUUCAUUAGAUUUUCAUUCAAAGCAAAUGCCUCAUCUCCAAGCAGAAAGAAAGUUAAAGUACUCAGAGGCUGAGUUUGGAGGUGCACGCAACUUGAUAUGUUUACCAUCAAUGAACUGAUAUUCUGAAACUGUACAUCAAAUCUUUGUAUGAGCAUCCUGAUGCUAAGAACUUUAAUGUUACACACAAGCGAUCAAGAGCAGAUAUAGCAUCUCUCAUAGUGGUGUUUUUCUUUGCUAUGAAUGGUGUUAGCUUCUCACAUAGCUCAUCAAACAAAAUGGAACCCAUCCUUAAAAGUAGUAAAAAUUAUAAUUUGUAAAUAAAAGUAAAGAAAAUAAGAAAAUUUCAUUAUUAAGAAAAGAACGUAAAAUUUGAAUUGAUUGUACAAUCCACUGACUAGCUUAAUUUUGAAGAGUGCAUGAAUAAAAAGACUAUCACAUUUCUUAACUUACCGAAACAAAUUUCUAAAUACAUCAUGGUCAGUCA